CUCUAAAGUUUUAGCAUAAAUACUCACAGUGACAUUACAGACUAGGCUAUUCACCUAAGUUAACUAAACCUUACAAUUAUCUUUCUUCAAGACUUUAAAUGGCAAAUGAGGUGGUGUUGUUGGGAUUCUGGCCUAGCCCUUUCGUGGCGAGGGUGAAGAUAGCACUGGCUGAGAAAGGGGUACAGUAUGAGUACAAGGAGGAGGACUUGGAGAACAAGAGCUCACUCUUGCUGCAAAUGAACCCAAUUCACAAGAAAGUGCCAGUGCUCAUUCACAAUGGCAAACCGCUCUCCGAGUCUCUCAUUGUGGUUCAAUACAUAGAUGAGGUUUGGAAAGAUGGGCCUCCAUUGUUGCCUUCUGAUCCGUACCUUAGGUCCCAAGCUAUGUUCUGGGCUGACUUCGUUGACAAAAAGAUAUAUCCAGUUGGGUGGAAGCUUUGGACAACCAAAGCAGAAGAGCAAGACGCAGCAAAGAAGGAAUUCCUUGAGAACACUGGGUUGUUAGAAGAAGAGCUUAAAGACAAGCCUUUCUUUGGUGGUGAGAACCUUGGAUUUGUGGAUGUGGCACUUGUCCCUAUCUAUAGCUGGCUUCCUGUGUAUGAGAAAUUUGCAAACUUCAGUUUAGUGGUAGAGCGCCCAAAGUUCAUUGAAUGGGCUAAGAGAUGCAUGGAGAAGGAAAGUGUGUCCAAGUCUCUUCCAGACCAGCAAAAGCUCAAUGACUUCAAGCUUUGAUCGAUGAAACCGAAAAUUCAUGGUGACGGUGAUGAACUGAAGAUGAGAGGACAUGCAGUUAGAUGGAUUGCCUUCACCUUGGUGUGGGUAUUGAAUCUCUCACAGUAA